UCUUCUCGUUGAUAGUUUUCGGCUGGGGUGACCCUGGAGAAAAAUAAAUCCUCCAGGAUGAACGGAUAUAAAAUCCUUAUCAAAGAGCUACAGCUCUAAGAAUCAAUAUAUUGACAUUAUUUGAUCCAAUUAAUUGAUCAACGAACCAAGUUACCCUGGGGAUAACAGCGCAAUCCAUUUCAAGAGCCCUUAUCGACAAAUGGGUUUACGACCUCGAUGUUGGAUCGGGGUAUCCCAGUGGCGCAGUCGCUACUAAAGGUUCGUUUGUUCAACGAUUAAUAACCCCACGUGAUCU
rnacentral:rRNA from 1 species